UAGACACAAAUUACAUAAACUAAUCAUUUUUUAAAUUCAGGAUUUUCAGGUUUAACCCUUUCCGUGUUCAUUGUCAGGAUCUCACUCACGUGCCCAGGUGCUACCUGGGUGGGUGAAAGACAUUGGGCACGAUGACUAUAGUUUGUAACUUUAUAAAAAAUUUCUCAGCGACUGACAAUGUGUUAGCGUACCGUGCACGACGUAUUUCCACAUGUGUGUUGUGUGGUUAGGAUGUGGAAUUGCGUCGUUUCCAUUGUUCCAUUCAUUAUAAGUUGAAACAUAUAUAAUAUUUAUGCACUAAUCUAAAGAAUUAUUUUGAAUUAAUUUUCA